AGGACAAACGCUGGCGGCGUACCUAAGACAUGCAAGUCGAACGGACUGUGCGUCUUCGGAUGUGCAGUGAGUGGCAAACGGGUGAGUAACGCGUAGGAACCCGCCUCGACGUGGGGGAUAACACUUGGAAACAGGUGCUAAUACCGCAUGUGGUCGCAAGAAGAAAGGCCUUCGGGUCGCGUUGAGAGGGGCCUGCGUCCGAUUAGCUAGUUGGUGGGGUAAAAGCCUACCAAGGCGACGAUCGGUAGCUGGUCUGAGAGGAUGGUCAGCCACACUGGGACUGAGACACGGCCCAGACUCCUACGGGAGGCAGCAGUUAGGAAAUUUUGCCAAUGGGGGAAACCCUGAGCGAGUAACGCCGCGUGGAGGAUGACGGCCUUCGGGUUGUAAACUCCUUUUCUGUGGACGAUGAUGACGGUACCACAGGAAGAAGCCCGGCUAACUACGCGCCAGCAGCCGC
rnacentral:rRNA from 1 species